rnacentral:piRNA from 1 species
UGAUCCCCACAGAGAUGAAGUGACUUGCC